GACGAACGCUGGCGGCGUGCUUAACACAUGCAAGUCGAACGGAAAGGCCCUGCUGUUGUGGGGUGCUCGAGUGGCGAACGGGUGAGUAACACGUGAGUAACCUGCCCUUGACUUUGGGAUAACUUCAGGAAACUGGGGCUAAUACCGGAUAGGAGCUCCUGCUGCAUGGUGGGGGUUGGAAAGUUUCGGCGGUUGGGGAUGGACUCGCGGCUUAUCAGCUUGUUGGUGGGGUAGUGGCUUACCAAGGCUUUGACGGGUAGCCGGCCUGAGAGGAUGACCGGCCACAUUGGGACUGAGAUACGGCCCAGACUCCUACGGGAGGCAGCAGUGGGGAAUAUUGCACAAUGGGCGGAAGCCUGAUGCAGCAACGCCGCGUGCGGGAUGACGGCCUUCGGGUUGUAAACCGCUUUCGCCUGUGACGAAGCGUGAGUGACGGUAAUGGGUAAAGAAGCACCGGCUAACUACGUG
rnacentral:rRNA from 1 species